rnacentral:rRNA from 1 species
ACGGCUACCUUGUUACGACUUAGCCCCAGUCAUCGGUUUUGCCCUAGGGCGCUGCUCGCGCUCACGCACUUCAGGCACUCCCGACUCCCAUGGCUUGACGGGCGGUGUGUACAAGGCCCGGGAACGUAUUCACCGCGCCGUGGCUGAUGCGCGAUUACUAGCGAAUCCAGCUUCAUGGAGUCGGGUUGCAGACUCCAAUCCGAACUGAGACAGGCUUUCGGGUUCCGCUCCCUGUCGCCAGGUGGCUUCCCGCUGUACCUGCCAUUGUAACACGUGUGUCGCCCCGGACGUAAGGGCCGUGCUGAUUUGACGUCAUCCCCGCCUUCCUCGCAGCUUGCGCCGGCAGUCCCGCCAGAGUCCCCAGCUUUGCCUGUUGGCAACUGGCGGUAGGGGUUGCGCUCGUUAUGGCACUUAAGCCGACACCUCACGGCACGAGCUGACGACAACCAUGCAGCACCUCGUCGCAGGUCCGUAGACGGGCAUCCUUUCAGACACCCUUCCUGCAACGUUUGAGCCCGGGUAAGGUUCCUCGCGUAUCAUCGAAUUAAACCACAUGUUCCUCCGCUUGUGCGGGCCCCCGUCAAUUCCUUUGAGUUUCA